UUUGAGAGACGUACCCAAGUUAGUUAUAGGAGGGACUCCCUCAUAGCAUCCGGUUGAAGACGUUAAACUUAGCACUUUUUGGGAGGCAACCCAGCUUAUGUAAUAUUUUUAGUUUUUUUUUUAUUUUGUAGAAAUCUUGAAAAAAAUAAUUAGCCAAGUUGAAUCUCUAUAGUGGAGUAGAUAAGUGAUGCUAAUAGCCAAG
rnacentral:lncRNA from 1 species